AACGCACCUUGCGCUCUUUGGUAUUCCGAAGAGCAUGCCUGUUUGAGUGUUGUGCUAUUCAUAAGCCUCGGCUUGAUUUUGGACUUUAUCUUUGCCGGUUCGCCGGCUGGUCCUGAAUGCAUUAGCUUGAACCUUGCUUGCGAUUGGUUUGACUCGGCGUGAUAAGUAUCUUUCGUCGAGGAACGGUCCCUUUACGGGGAUCGGCCAGCUGCUUGUAGGGUUUGCUUUCCAACCGUCUUAGGACACACACUUCAUUGUGGCUUCAGCCUCAAAUCAGGUAGGACUACCCGCUGAACUUAA
rnacentral:rRNA from 1 species